UUCCAACUGAAGAAUUCCAAAUAAGACGAAACGCGCGUCCUGUAU
rnacentral:hammerhead_ribozyme from 1 species